rnacentral:rRNA from 1 species
GAUGAACGCUAGCUACAGGCUUAACACAUGCAAGUCGAGGGGCAGCAUGGUCUUAGCUUGCUAAGGCCGAUGGCGACCGGCGCACGGGUGAGUAACACGUAUCCAACCUGCCGUCUACUCUUGGACAGCCUUCUGAAAGGAAGAUUAAUACAAGAUGGCAUCAUGAGUCCACAUGUUCACAUGAUUAAAGGUAUUCCGGUAGACGAUGGGGAUGCGUUCCAUUAGAUAGUAGGCGGGGUAACGGCCCACCUAGUCGACGAUCAGUAGCCGACCUGAGAGGGUGAUCGGCCACAUUGGAACUGAGAAACGGUCCAA